rnacentral:misc_RNA from 1 species
UCCGGUUUGGCACCGGCAGUCCUCCCAGAGUCCCCGCCUUGACGCGCUGGCAACUGGGAGCGGGGGUUGCGCUCGUUGCGGGACUUAACCCAACAUCUCACGACACGAGCUGACGACAGCCAUGCACCACCUGUGACCGUGCCCCGAAGGGAGAGUGUGUUUCCACACCUGUCACGGACAUGUCAAGCCCAGGUAAGGUUCUUCGCGUUGCAUCGAAUUAAUCCACAUGCUCCGCCGCUUGUGCGGGCCCCCGUCAAUUCCCUUGAGUUUUAGCCUUGCGGCCGUACUCCCCAGGCGGGGUGCUUAAUGCGUUAGCUGCGGCACGGACGGAGUCGACACCGCCCACACCUAGCACCCAUCGUUUACGGCGUGGACUAC